GAAACGACUGCUAAGACUGGAUAGGAAAUUAGAAGGCAUCUUUUAUUUUUAAAAGACCUUUUUCGAAAGGUAUACUUAAAGAGGGGCUUGCGGCACAUUAGUUAGUUGGUAGGGUAAAAGCCUACCAAGACCAUGAUGUGUAGCUGGACUGAGAGGUUGAACAGCCACAUUGGGACUGAGACACGGCCCAAACUCCUACGGGAGGCAGCAGUAGGGAAUUUUCGGCAAUGGAGGAAACUCUGACCGAGCAACGCCGCGUGAACGAUGAAGUAUUUCGGUAUGUAAAGUUCUUUUAUUGGAGAAGAAAAAAUAGUGGAAAAACUAUCUUGACGAUAUUCAAUGAAUAAGCCCCGGCAAACUAUGUGCCAGCAGCCGCGGUAAUACAUAGGGGGCGAGCGUUAUCCGGAAUUAUUGGGCGUAAAGGGUGCGUAGGCGGUUUGGUAAGUCUAUAGUUUAAUUUCAGUGCUUAACACUGUUCUGCUAUAGAAACUAUCAGACUAGAGUAAGAUAGAGGCAAGUGGAAUUCCAUGUGUAGCGGUAAAAUGCGUAAAUAUAUGGAGGAACACCAGAGGCGUAGGCGGCUUGCUGGGUCUUUACUGACGCUGAGGCACGAAAGCGUGGGGAGCAAACAGGAUUAGAUACCCUGGUAGUCCACGCCGUAAACGAUGAGUACUAAGUGUCGGGGAAACUCGGUACUGAAGUUAACACAUUAAGUACUCCGCCUGAGUAGUACGUACGCAAGUAUGAAACUUAAAGGAAUUGACGGGACUCCGCACAAGCGGUGGAUCAUGUUGUUUAAUUCGAAGAUACACGAAAAACCUUACCAGGUCUUGAUAUACUCUGCAAAGCUAUAGCAAUAUAGUGGAGAUUAUCAGGGAUACAGGUGGUGCAUGGUUGUCGUCAGCUCGUGUCGUGAGAUGUUAGGUUAAGUCCUAAAACGAGCGCAACCCUUGUCACUAGUUGCCAGCAUGUUAUGAUGGGCACUUUAGUGAGACUGCCAAUGAAAAAUUGGAGGAAGGCGAGGAUCACGUCAAAUCAUCAUGCCCCUUAUGAUCUGGGCUACAAACGUGAUACAAUGGCUGUUACAAAGAGUAGCUAAAACGCGAGUUUAUAGCCAAUCUCAUAAAAGCAGUCUCAGUUCGGAUUGAAGUCUGCAACUCGACUUCAUGAAGUUGGAAUCGCUAGUAAUCGCGAAUCAGCAUGUCGCGGUGAAUACGUUCGCGGGGUUUGUACACACCGCCCGUCA
rnacentral:rRNA from 1 species